rnacentral:tRNA from 1 species
GGCCUCGUAGCUCAGUUGGCUAGAGCGUUGGCUGUACUAAAGCCUUCCUCUUGCGGGCAUGGGUUCGAAUCCCACGGAGGCCG